rnacentral:rRNA from 1 species
UACGGAGGAUGCAAGCGUUAUCCGGAAUGAUUGGGCGUAAAGCGUCCGCAGGUGGCUAUGUAAGUCUGCUGUUAAAGAGUGAGGCUCAACCUCAUAAGAGCAGUGGAAACUACAUAGCUAGAGUGCGUUCGGGGCAGAGGGAAUUCCUGGUGUAGCGGUGAAAUGCGUAGAUAUCAGGAAGAACACCCGUGGCUAAGGCGGCUCUCUAGUACGGUACUGACGCUGAAGACGGCGAAAGCGUGGGGAGCGAACAGG